rnacentral:rRNA from 1 species
AGGGUUUGAUCCUGGCUCAGGACGAACGCUGGCGGCGUGGAUUAGGCAUGCAAGUCGAACGCGAAAGUAUUUCUUCGGAGAUACGAGUAGAGUGGCGGACGGGUGAGUAACGCGUAGGUAUCUACCUUUAAGUGGGGGACAGCCCCGGGAAACCGGGAUUAAUACCGCAUGUGGAGCCACUUAUUAUAGAUUAUAGAUUUGGUUCGCAAAUUCGUAGAAUUUGCAACUACUUUAAAUUAAUGCUACAAUAAACAAGUAUUAGUUUUUAAAUUAAUAGUUUAUAAUAAGUGGUUCUAAAGAUGGCCUCUGUUUCAAGCUAUCGCUUAGAGAUGAGCCUGCGUCCUAUUAGCUAGUUGGUAAGGUAAUGGCUUACCAAGGCGAUGAUAGGUAGGCGGCUUUAACGAGUGGUCGCCCACACUGGGAUUGAGAUACGGCCCAGACUCCUACGGGAGGCAGCAGUCGAGAAUAGUCUACAAUGGACGAAAGUCUGAUAGUGCGACGCCGCGUGGAUGAAGAAGCAUUUCGGUGUGUAAAAUCCUUUUCUUUGUGAGCAAUGUUUGUAUGAUUAAUAGUUUUACGAAAGAGAUAUUAGCAAAGGAA